UAUUGUAGUCUUAUUGUAGUCUAUGGUGUUUAUACGGAAUAUUUGUCCUUUAUUUAUAUAAUUGGAUUAUCAACAGAUGCAGUACACCCAGGAACAAGCACAAACCUGAUGAACAAAUGGAAAUGAGAAGACAACUUAUGGAGACACGCAAGCAUAACCUGCCGGAGAUUUGUCUUAAUCUCAUCCUGUGCAGAACAACAAAUGGCAGCAAUUGAAGUUGAACAGACUAAUGGAGCUUCUUCAUUGCUGUUUAAUGUGAUGUUUUUGUUGCAGGCAGAUGUUAAAAGAUUUGAAGCACUUUUAACUGAAACUCACAAAGACUAAAGUACACAUAGAAUAACUAAGAAUGAACAAGAAUUUUUAUUUUGGAGGAACUCGCCAAACUCGAAAAUGCAAACACUGAAGUUUGCUAUGUUUAUUGGGCCUGUUAUCUCAAAGAUUCAUUAACAUCCUUGUAUCCGCAAAUUGGAGUGACAUGCGAUGUACGCAUGCAUCUAGAAUCACCGUCCGAAUUCUUCAACCAUAAAGGGGACAAAUCUACGUACCUCAACACUUCCUUAAUAAUCAAUGAAGGC
rnacentral:lncRNA from 1 species